UAAGACGUAGGGCGCGAGCGUUGUCCGGAUUUAUUGGGCGUAAAGAGCUCGUAGGCGGCUUGUCGCGUCGACUGUGAAAACCCGUGGCUCAACCAUGUGGUCUGCAGUCGAUACGGGCAGGCUAGAAUUCGGUAGGGGAGACUGGAAUUCCUGGUGUAGCGGUGAAAUGCGCAGAUAUCAGGAGGAACACCGGUGGCGAAGGCGGGUCUCUGGGCCGAUAUUGACGCUGAGGAGCGAAAGCGUGGGGAGCGAACAGGAUUAGAUACCCUGGUAGUCCACGCUGUAAACGUUGGGCGCUAGGUGUGGGGGGCCUCUCCGGUUCUCUGUGCCGCAGCUAACGCAUUAAGCGCCCCGCCUGGGGAGUACGGCCGCAAGGCUA
rnacentral:rRNA from 1 species